AUUGAACGCUGGCGGCGUGCCUAACACAUGCAAGUCGAGCGGCAGCGCGGGAGCAAUCCUGGCGGCGAGCGGCGGACGGGUGAGUAAUGCUUGGGAAUCUGCCUGUUAGUGGGGACAACCCGGGGAAACGUCGGGCUAAUACCGCAUACGCACUACGGUGGAAAGCCGGGGACCGCAAGGCCUGGCGCUAACAGAUGAGCCCAAGUCGGAUUAGCUAGUUGGUAGGGAACGGCCUACCAAGGCGACGAUCCGUAACUGGUCUGAGAGGACGACCAGUCACACCGGAACUGAGACACGGUCCGGACUCCUACGUGAGGCAGCAGUGGGGAAUAUUGGACAAUGGGGGAAACCCGUGAUCCAGCGACGCCGCGUGGGUGAAGAAGGCCUGCGGGUUGUAAAGCCCUUUCAGGUGGGGAAGAAAAGCCUCGACCUAACACGUCGGGGUCUUGACGUAACCCAUAGAAGAAGCACCGGCUAACUCUGUGCCAGCCGCCGCCGUAAU
rnacentral:rRNA from 1 species